rnacentral:rRNA from 1 species
AGCGAACGCUGGCGGCAGGCUUAACACAUGCAAGUCGAACGGGCGUAGCAAUACGUCAGUGGCAGACGGGUGAGUAACGCGUGGGAACGUACCUUUUGGUUCGGAACAACCCAGGGAAACUUGGGCUAAUACCGGAUAAGCCCUUACGGGGAAAGAUUUAUCGCCGAAAGAUCGGCCCGCGUCUGAUUAGCUAGUUGGUGAGGUAACGGCUCACCAAGGCGACGAUCAGUAGCUGGUCUGAGAGGAUGAUCAGCCACAUCGGGACUGAGAUACGGCCCAGAC